rnacentral:rRNA from 1 species
UACAGAGGGGGCAAGCGUUGUUCGGAAUUACUGGGCGUAAAGGGCGCGUAGGCGGCCUUCUAAGUCAGACGUGAAAUCCCUCGGCUCAACCGGGGAACUGCGUCUGAGACUGGAAGGCUUGAAUCCGGGAGAGGGAUGUGGAAUUCCUGGUGUAGCGGUGGAAUGCGCAGAUAUCAGGAGGAACACCGAUGGCGAAGGCAGAUCUCUGGGCCGUAACUGACGCUGAGGAGCGAAAGCAUGGGGAGCGAACAGG